rfam:Sorghum bicolor cultivar BTx623 chromosome 10, whole genome shotgun sequence.
GUUGACGGAUUCAUUUCAAUCUAUAUGUAUUGGUGUGGGUUAGAGUAAAAUUUAGUUCAAGUUCCACUCUAAUUCACCUCAACACAUGUGGACUGAUGUGAAUACGACU